GUCUAUGGCCAUACCACCGUGAACGUGCCUGAUCUUAGAAGCUAUGCAGGAUCGGGCCUGGUUAGUACUUGGGUGGGAGAAGUCACAUAGCUUCACUUCUUCCAUAGUCA
rnacentral:rRNA from 1 species